CCUUCUUAGCAUUAUUAGAUGAUAUAAAAAAAUUACGGUGUUAUCCACGCUAUGCAUUUAAUGAGUAAGCAGAUAACCAAAACAAAGUAGAUGGCAAGGCAAAUAUCUUCUAGCAGAAAGCUGUCAUGAAUAUCGAUUCUUGCUUUUCAAACUGAAAUUUUAAUGUUGAUUAUGAGUAGUUGCACAUCAAAGAAAGAGUUUCUAACAAUUAAAUGUCAUAAAUAACAAUGUAAUUAUUUUUACAUUAGGAGGAUUAUUCUGGCAUAAGUGAUAAAGCUAAAAACUUAAAAACAAAGUAUGAUCUAAUGCUUAAAUACAGAGAAGCUGGGAGAGGCAAACAUCUAUGCUCACACUGGAAGAAUCAUAUAACUCUAGUGUUAUAGGAACCACAACAAGAGCAUUUGUGGUAAAGCCAGUGGAAGGGAGCUGCUCCUUUCUUUUCACAGUCAUUACAUAAAAUAACCUGCAUUUGACCCGAAAACUCGUCAGACAUUUUCUGCUCGGCCAAUAGUGCAUCUAACAUCCUAAAAAGGACCUGC
rnacentral:lncRNA from 1 species